rnacentral:rRNA from 1 species
AUGUUCCCCCGUUUGUUUCCUGGGAUGUCAACCAUGCCGAAUACAACUGCGCUGGCAACUUCGCUGGAGGGCAUGACAACCCAUGGCGAACUCAUGUAUGUCGAUGCUCUUGAUCUGUCCACCGUUGACUUUACCGGGACUGGAGGCCCACCGCCUGCACAUAAAUUUGUUGUCUCUGCGUGGACGAACGCUGCUAUCAAGGCUGUGCUUGCCGCAAACAGGAUAACCGAUACGAAAGAUGGAAAACUGCAGCUGAUAGCCUAG